rnacentral:sRNA from 1 species
AAUCUUAAUUGCCUUGGGGCAGUCCCUGCCCU